UAUGUCUGCAUCUGUUUUAAAGUAACGAUAAUUGAAGUCGGUAGGUUUAAUCAAAGAAAGGAAAUCACUCAAGUGGAAAUAUGGAAAUGAAUGAUUAAUUUCAGUAUUUACUCUGUUGAUUUAAACGAGGGAAGUUAUGGGGAAAUAAAGCGGCUACUAAAACCAUUAAACCAGGGUUGCCAACUUGGGGCAACAGAAAUCUGGGACACUAAUCAAUAUAUUAGAUUUUAUAAACAGAAAACAUUAACAAACAAACCAAAAAAACUGAAUGGAGUGCAGUAUUUUCUGCAUUCUUCAUCGGUCACUACUUUUUCCACUGAUAUUGUUUUUUUGGCUACCUGCAGCAUUCAGCAAGUUGAGAAAAAACUGGUUUUAUAAUAAAAUAAUUAUUGGAUGUAUGACUUGCGGAGAUUUUUGGUAAUUUAGUAAUCGGAAACUACAUUUUAAAAAACGUCUACAUCUUCUUGUUUUUUGGCCAUCCUCAGAUUGGAACCAAGAAAAUUGUUCUUUUAAAGAAUUCUAUUUGUUUUUCUAUGAUCGAGCAUCUUCUAAGCACAUUAGUUGUUUCAACGCAUUUGGGCAAAGAUAGAAAAUAUUAUACAAGAGCAAGGUAGAAUUUUAAAAUGUUCUCAAAGGCUGGGCCUAAUUACAACCUGUUUGACAAGCUCUUGUCAUUGUAUUUCAGGAAAUUGGGAAAUCCGGGAAGGUUGGCAACAGUGCAUUAAAUAUUUUAUUAGAUGUCAUCACGAAAUUAAAAUACCCCAUCAAUCAUUGUCAAAUGAAACUUUUCAAUAUAAAAAACGGGUGUAUUUAUAUUAAAAACGUAAAUUUUUAAUAGGAAAACAUUAAAUUAUCUAUAUUUUUAGUAAAAUAACUCUUAAUUAAAGAUAUUAAUCUUCAUUAAUCUUUCAAGUAAGGCACCUGACAAGUAAUCAAUAUAGUUUUAGACAAAACCAAAUCCCAUAAGAAAAAAAUAAGUAGUAGUAGUAGAAUAGAUAAUGGACUAGCCUGCUGAAUCAUUAAUUACCCUAAUGAGAAUGCUCAAAAUAUUAUUACCAGGGCUGUUAAAACACCUAAAUAUCGACUAAGAAAUCUUAAAGAGCUUGUCAAUGCUGGCGAAAUAUUCCUCAAUAAUUAGCCGUUAAUAUAAUACCAUUAUAUAGAUACUGAGAUACUCAACCUAAUAUAAAUAUUAUAU